CCUAUGACCCAAGCUCCGGUUAGUACACAACCUUGGACGGCAAUGUAAGCGGCCCAGCCUAAGUAGUUGAGGGGAUGGGGAAGGUAUUGGUCGAUGUAAUUGGUGGCAAUGUAAUAGAGGGAGUAGGCCAUGAGGAGAUCUUGAAUGAGGUAGCGGAAUGAGGUGACGAGAGAUUUUUGGAAGCAAUGGGCUGGAAUGGCUUUUUUAAGGUCUCCUAUGGUGAAGGGAGGUUUGUCGUGAGGGGCGCGGCGAAGGGCUUCGGCUUGGGUCUUCUUGUUGGCAUUAGAGGGAGCUGACAUACGCCCACCUGCACCCAUUUUCUUGGGUUUAUUGGCUUGCCUGAAAUUAGGAAAAGAGAAUAGUACCUGAAAGAGAAGAGAAGCUUUUUGCUAGUCUCUCUGCUUCUUCCUUUGCCUUUGUUUAUGUGUUAUGCUGCUGCUGCACUCGGUAUUUAUAUAGAAAGGUUUUGUAAGUUAUGAAUGAACCCGCCCGCCACUCGGUUGCUCUUAAUUUAAUAGAGUAAAAUAUACUCCUAUAUUCCUCCUAUAUCUUGAUUGAUUUGUGAGAGUCAGUGGGACCGAUUUCUUUAGUCCUAAUGGGCUGCUUAGGCUUAGGCUUACUACUACAAUUUUCUCUCCUCAGUCCUCGUAGGCGGCUAUUUUUUUAUUUAAUUUUCUUUCUCACCUACAUUGGUCAUGCAUUGGGGGUUCCCCACCUCCAGGGAUACGACUUAUGACCAAUCUUCACUAAUAUUUACUUUUAAACAAUUUAAUAUUAAAUACAUAAAUGAAUUAUGUUUAAAAAUAUUACAAUAAAUUUUGAUAUUUCAUUUCUUUUUUCUCCAUGCUACAUAGGGCGCCUUAAAAAAUCUAUGCAACAAUAAUAAAAUAAUGUUAGAAUUUUAAAAUUUUUGAUCUCAAAUGACAUUACAUUACCAAUCACAUAAUGACACGUAAUUUGAAAUAUGUACUUGACACCAAAUAUUAAGAAGAAUGUUUUUCCCCCGGACAGGACACGGGCUUAAAGUAUCAAUACUAAAUUGUAAAAGUGCAUUUGAUAUCUUAUUAUUACUAACUUUUUCUUUUGUAUGUACUUGCUCCAUUUUGCAAAUGAUUCUGACUAGUAGACUAUCCUUACUUAUAAACAAAUUUACAGCACACCUAAUUUGACUUUAAAAUAAAUGGAUAUUUAAUUUUGUAACAGAUUAAAAAUAUAUAUAUAUAUAUAUAUAUAUAUAUAUAUAUAAUUUUAGAAACAAAUAGACUAUAUCCAAAACACGAAAUUACUAUCAUUAUAUUGAUUACAAUUAGAUGAAAUUUAUAUUAAUUUUAAAUUUAAAAUAUCUAAACUUAAUUUUAAAAAGUCAAUUAAUAGUAUUAAAAUUGGCUUUGUAAUUAAAUACUAUGUACUUGCUCGAUUUUUCAAAUGAUUCUGACUAGUAGACUAUCCUAACUUACAAACAAAUUAAGAACACCUAAAUUGACUCAUUUUUUUUAUAAAAAAAAUGUAUACUUAAUUUUAUAAUGGAAUAAACAAACUUCUCAUAGUCAUAAUGAUAGAAAGAAACUCAUCUAAAACAUUACUCUUUAAUUACCGCUAGGCUAAGAGGUAAAAAAUAUAUCUCUAAUUUUGAAAACAAAUAGAGUAUAUCAAUUUUAUAAAUUUAAAAAUAUCUCGAAUUAACUUUAAAAAAUUAAUAAUAAUUUAAUAAUUUAAUAAUUUAAAAGGGAUGAAUAAUUAAUUUAAACUUAUUUGACACGUGGGCCUGAUCUACCAACUGAAUAAUGUACCAAUAAAUUAUUUGAAAUUCUCAUUCUUGAUUGACGCAAUGGCAAUGGCAAUGGCAAUGGCAAUGGCGUGCUCUGGUCAGUCAACUUUGGUGUACUAAUUUGACAGGAGAGUCUUUUGAAGUUUGUGAAUAAACUCACUCUAACUCAACACACCUACGUAGAAGUAGCAGUAGGCCAGGGCAUGGGGUGGUACCAUUCACUUCAGCCUACCACAUUUAUAUAUAACACUACAACCCAAAGUGAACUUUAGGCAAAUCAAGCCUAACAACAACCAAAUCCACCAACAAAGCUAGAGAGAACUAGCAAGCUUGUAUUCCCACAAGCAAUUACCCCAUCCAACAAUGGGUAAAGGUGGCCGUAUGACCGUCAGCAACCACGGGAAGCAUAUCGACAACAUCCAUCGAGUUCCUCAUGAAAAACCACCAUUUACCCUCGCCGAUAUCAAAAAAGCUAUUCCACCCCAUUGCUUCAACCGUUCCCUCCUCCGCUCUUUCUCCUACCUCCUUUUCGACCUCGCGGUUUGCUUCCUCCUCUACUACAUUUCCACAACCUACAUUCCCCUCCUCCCUAAACCCCUCUCCUACCUCGCUUGGACCGCCUACGUCUACGUCCAAGGUUGUUUCAUGUUCGCCGUCUGGGUAGUGGCCCACGAAUGCGGCCACCACGCCUUCAGCGACUACCACUUGCUAAACGACACGCUUGGCUUCAUUCUCCAUUCCCUUCUCCUCGUCCCUUAUUUCUCCUGGAAAAUUAGCCAUCGUCGCCACCACGCCAACACGAAUUCUCUUGACCGAGACGAAAACCAUGUCCCCAGAUUCAAAAACACAAUAAGAUCAUAUUACCAUCACUUCAACAACCCACUUGGCCGCUUCUUCAUUAUUGCAUUCACUCUAACUUUAGGAUGGCCUUUGUACUUGAUUGUAAACAUAGCCGGACGAUCUUAUGACCGGUUUGCAUCUCAUUUUGACCCGUAUAGUCCUAUUUACUCGCAACGCGAGCGGGCUCAAAUCUUGCUGUCAGACAUUGGUUUUCUUGCUGCUGGUUAUGGACUAUAUCGGAUUGCACUAGUAAAAGGACUUUCAUGGGUAAUGCUUGUAUAUGGAGCUCCAUUACAUGUGGUAAACGGGUUUCUUGUGAUGAUCACACUACUGCAUCACACUCAUCUUUCGUUGCCUCACUACGAUUCGUCUGAGUGGGACUGGUUGAGGGGAGCUCUAGCUACGGUGGAUAGGGAUUAUGGAAUUCUAAACAAAGUAUUCCAUCACAUAGCAGAUACUCAUGUGCUCCACCAUUUGAUCUCUAGCAUUCCUCAUUAUCAUGCUCAAGAGGCAACUGAGGCCAUAAAGCCGGUAUUGGGGGAUUAUUACCAUUAUGAUGGAACUCCAUUCUACAAGGCAAUGUGGAGAGAGGCAAAGGAGUGUCUCUAUGUUGAGGCAGAGGAAGGUGACAAGAGCAAAGGUGUUUACUGGUACAAGAACAAGCUUUGACUUCAAUCCAUAGAAAUGAUCAAUGAUUUUAUCUUCUCUUUAGAACUAAAAGGGUAGUACUGCCCUUUGUUUCUAAUUUAAUUUGUUUUCCGGCCCUUAAAAGUGAAGGCCUUGUAAAUGUAGAACAAUUUUUUUGUACUCGUGUUGAUGGUAAUAUUAAAGCUACACUAAAUUUCACUUCUUCACCUGAGAUUCUAAGCAUGAUAAAAUAUUGUUAUGGGUCGGUUUUUGUUUUGGUUUAUAAAAUUUGGUUAUAGUUUUAUUUAAUAACUAAAACCAUACUAACUAUUUUUAAUAUGGGUUGUGUGAAUUGGAUCCAUAUAAUUAUGGUUCAAAUAUAUGUCAAACCAUAUUUUAAAUUUUAAAUUUACCAUUAUUAUGAUCCAAUUAAAUAAAUUAUUAAAUUUAAAUUAUUAUUAGAUAUAUCCUGUAUAUAGGGAUCUAAAACAUACCUCUUAAAUAACUUACCUUUCUUAAAUAGCAUAUCUGUAAUAAAACUACGUCCUUUUGAAAAACAAAAUAAUAUUAAAAGAGACUACUCACACUUGCUUUCAUUUUAUUUACAAAAAUGUCACUCAUGACCCCACUUGUUUUUUAAAAGAAUCUUCAAAACAGCGUAGUUUAAUAAAAGUAUUUUAUUUAAGAUAUGUAUGUUAUUUAAGAGGUAUGUUUUAAAUCCGUCCUCCCUAUAUACAUAUAUGACUUGUGUGACGCCCCCAAAUUCGGGAACUUGAAACCCUUAUUCAGUGCUCACGAUAAAAACUUCCAGAAUAUAAUAAACAUAAACUUAAUAGAGUAAUUACAUCAAAGUUCUUCUAAUUCCAGGUACGCAAACCUUUAAGCGUUUAUUACAUGAUAGUUUAAUAUUUAUAAACAUGAAAACUAUCUAUUACAACACUCUUCAGCUAUUCUCCUACUUUUCCUUUUCCCUUGUCUUUUCCAGACCCUUCUGCCCGAGUCUGCUCAGCUGAAAACAUUUAAUAAAACAAGUAUGAGCAUUUAAUUGCUCAGCAAGUAAUAGCAUUCUUUAAAGCUUAAAAAAAANNNNNNNNNNNNNNNNNNNNNNNNNNNNNNNNNNNNNNNNNNNNNNNNNNNNNNNNNNNNNNNNNNNNNNNNNNNNNNNNNNNNNNNNNNNNNNNNNNNNNNNNNNNNNNNNNNNNNNNNNNNNNNNNNNNNNNNNNNNNNNNNNNNNNNNNNNNNNNNNNNNNNNNNNNNNNNNNNNNNNNNNNNNNNNNNNNNNNNNNNNNNNNNNNNNNNNNNNNNNNNNNNNNNNNNNNNNNNNNNNNNNNNNNNNNNNNNNNNNNNNNNNNNNNNNNNNNNNNNNNNNNNNNNNNNNNNNNNNNNNNNNNNNNNNNNNNNNNNNNNNNNNNNNNNNNNNNNNNNNNNNNNNNNNNNNNNNNNNNNNNNNNNNNNNNNNNNNNNNNNNNNNNNNNNNNNNNNNNNNNNNNNNNNNNNNNNNNNNNNNNNNNNNNNNNNNNNNNNNNNNNNNNNNNNNNNNNNNNNNNNNNNNNNNNNNNNNNNNNNNNNNNNNNNNNNNNNNNNNNNNNNNNNNNNNNNNNNNNNNNNNNNNNNNNNNNNNNNNNNNNNNNNNNNNNNNNNNNNNNNNNNNNNNNNNNNNNNNNNNNNCAUGUACAAGUAUAUUAGCCAAACAUACAAGUCAUAUAGUUUGUAUUUUCACAUAUCACAUAAUCACAUUGAUUAUAUUUUUAGUUUAUAUUUUAUAUUUGAAAUAUUUUUAUACAUUUUUCAAAUAUCUCAUCCAUGUUCUUAAAACAAUCAUUUCUUUCUAUUAUAGAGUCUGACAUAAUCUUUUGCUCAAGAUUUUUCUAGAAUCUUAGUUCAAAUAUCUUUUCUAAGUUAUGACAAGUUAGUUUCGUCGCAGAGUUUAGCAAUUCUUUACGACACUACUAGCCUAAACUUGGCUUAGCAACCUUAAAAGUCUCAUCAUAACAACCAUUGUUUUAUAAUAAAUUACGUGUCUUAGAUGUGACUAAAACUUGUUUGGACAAUUUAUAGUUCUAUUCGUUUGUAGUUUCAAUUUUUCUUUUUAACUAAGAUGCUAAACAUUCUUGUUUACUUUAAAAAUGUCAAAACCGCCCCUUCGUGUGGUAAUCAAACUAUGUCUAGCCCUGUGAGGCUUGGCUAGGCCUUGACGCCCCUAGCCGAGCUUAGCAACCCUUAACCCGAGCAACACUUUCCAAUUUGCUUAACCUUAUCUUAUAAUAUGUUAGCCCAUUAGUAUUUUAAAAAAUUGCAUUACUGCUAACUGCUGCUGCUAAUGCUGCUGUCAAAGACAGCAGCUUUGCUCCUCUGAUUAGCCCUCUGUUUUAUAACUUUAUAACUUAUGCUGUGUACAAUUAUGUAAACCCAAGUUUUAACAUAAAUGUUUUAUAUAUUGGCAGUCUAUUAAUUAUGCUUUCCAAGCUAUUUAAACUACUAGCAAGUGCUCCUUUCUACCACUGCUGUCCGUGAGCAGCAGUAGUCUCCCCUUCCCUGCCUAUUGAUUCAGCCAUCAACUCAACCAUUAUCAAUAUAAAUAUAGGGAUGUACAGUUAUUAAUAUCUAGACACAACAGUUGAGGAGAAUUUUAUAAUCUAACUAUAUUCAACACAAAUUCAUCAAAGAAAGCAUUAUCAUUUGUGCAACCAUGCGCACUGCUGCUGUCACAAAAUAGGCAACAAAUCUGCCUUUGCUUUGAAAAACAAAAUUAAUUAAUAUGCUACUUGUGACACACCUCUUGAUAUAAAAAAAUGCUAGUGACUUAAAGCUAUUACUCUAGCUGCUGCAACACACUUGUUGUCACCCAAGUACAGAAGCUGCAUUCCUCCUCUCAAGCCAUAAAAUAACUCCUUUUAAGAAAAUCAAAGAUGAUGCAUUUAUUUGAUAAAGUACCAACAAUCAGGUAAUAUUCAGCUACUUAAACACAAUGAUUAUUAGCCCCAAAAAAAAAACUUCGGCCAUGGCCCAAAAGGUUUACUGUUGUUGACACGCUGCUGCCACUGGGCAGCAGCUACUCCCUUUAUUCUUGACCCUAUUGUGCCAAGUGUUGAGCAUUACAUGAAUCAUAUGUAUUUGUAUUGCAGAGAAGUGCUACACAAACACGUUUAGUAGUUUAAUGUUUGCCAAACUAGAGCUCAAAGAGAGUCUCAACUGAUGCUUAAGACUGCUGCUACCGUGGGUAGCAGCUGACCCACCAACUACAAACAUCUUUGGCUUGAAUUUGAAUAUUCAUUACCAUUUUAUGCUCUUAAACUCUUCAUUUUAUUAGUAUAUGUAAAACAUUUGGUCAUCCAAAACUUAAGUUUUGCCAAAUAACUGACUUUAAUCUAAAACAGUCCACUUGGGACUUUUGUCAAGCAUAUGGGGUGCACAAUUUUAUAUUACCAAAUUCAAAGCUAAUGUUUUAUAUCAUAAACCCAUAUUAUUCUCCUUAUUACUCCACAACCACUUAUCUCCUUGCCUAAAUUUGGUGAAGCACAUAACCAAAACCAUAUAUACUCAAUGCAUUAACAAUUAAUUAGUUCAUGUUGAGGUUAUAUUACCCCACUAAAUUCAACUUACUGCAAUAAAACAGAGCAUGGAUUUCAAACAUAACUCAGCUAUAUAAUAUCUCAAAGGUUUCACCUUAGUUUAAGCAACCCAGUUGACUAACUUCGAUUUUUUUUUUAACAAAAAAUAUAAGAGAAAGAACCGAAAAUACAGCUAAUAAAUUCAUACCUUCUAUUUGACGUGUUCCCGCUCACCCCACAGCUUCAAGCUACCGAAGUUCCUCCUCCUUAACAACUCGAAACUUGGGUAUUUUCCCAGUUCGUAGAAAUUAUAGAGUUUCACUAUUUUUGUUUUUAUAACACUUUCUGUGCGGGUUUAAGAAAUAAACUGCUUGUUACAACCUGAAGCUCUGUUUUAUAAGAACUCUGGCUAUGUAAAACUCGUUAUAGGCAAACUGAGUUGUAAAGCUAAGUUAUUGUAUAAUCGCCAGCACCUGCUAAGCUAAUAGAUUAUCUCCUGUUUUAACAGCCACGUAUACGAUAAUAAGCUGAGUUUCAUUUACUAUUAACGUUAAUUCAUAAGGCUAUGUUUGGCGAGAAAAAUAACAUUUACUUCUCUUUCUGCAGUUAGUGCAUGCUUUAAAUAUACCAAAAUACAUUUCAAAUUUUUUUUUUAAUAGAAUAUCCAUACAUCAUUUCCAUCAAAACAGAGGGUAUUUAUUAAAUAUAAUAACUAUUAAAUAUUAUACAUGACAAAACAUCUCAUCACAAAAUACANNNNNNNNNNNNNNNNNNNNNNNNNNNNNNNNNNNNNNNNNNNNNNNNNNNNNNNNNNNNNNNNNNNNNNNNNNNNNNNNNNNNNNNNNNNNNNNNNNNNNNNNNNNNNNNNNNNNNNNNNNNNNNNNNNNNNNNNNNNNNNNNNNNNNNNNNNNNNNNNNNNNNNNNNNNNNNNNNNNNNNNNNNNNNNNNNNNNNNNNNNNNNNNNNNNNNNNNNNNNNNNNNNNNNNNNNNNNNNNNNNNNNNNNNNNNNNNNNNNNNNNNNNNNNNNNNNNNNNNNNNNNNNNNNNNNNNNNNNNNNNNNNNNNNNNNNNNNNNNNNNNNNNNNNNNNNNNNNNNNNNNNNNNNNNNNNNNNNNNNNNNNNNNNNNNNNNNNNNNNNNNNNNNNNNNNNNNNNNNNNNNNNNNNNNNNNNNNNNNNNNNNNNNNNNNNNNNNNNNNNNNNNNNNNNNNNNNNNNNNNNNNNNNNNNNNNNNNNNNNNNNNNNNNNNNNNNNNNNNNNNNNNNNNNNNNNNNNNNNNNNNNNNNNNNNNAGUCCAUAACACAUGCACGUAGCAUAUCCUCCAAAGUCUGUAUUGUUCUUUCGCUCUGUCCAUCUGUCUGUGGAUGAUAGGCCGUACUUAAUCUUAACUGUGUCCCCAGAUGUUCUUGUAAACUUUUCCAAAAAUUUGAAGUAAAUCUUGGAUCUCGGUCUGAAAUAAUGGAUACUGGCACUCCAUGCCGGGAAAUAAUCUCCUUGAUGUAGAGGUUAGCUAACCGAUCUAGAUUAUAUCUAAUCUUGAUUGGCAAAAAGUGUGCCGAUUUUGUUAAUCGAUCAACUAUAACCCAAAUCGCAUCAAAUCCCUUUGGCGUCCUCGGGAGUCCUACCACAAAAUCCAUUGUGAUAUGUUCCCAUUUCCAUUCAGGAAUUUCCAAGGGCUGUAAAAGACCACUAGGUUUCUGAUGUUCAGCUUUUACUCGCUGACAAGUUAAACAUCUGCUGACAUACUCUGCAACCUCUCUUUUCAUGUUUGGCCACCAAAAAUGUUGUCGGAGGUCUUGAUACAUUUUGGUACUGCCAGGAUGAAUUGUGUAUCUUGAACAAUGAGCUUCUUGUAGUAUUUCUUCUUUCAGUUCCAGCUCUGUCGGAACCUAAAUUCUUCCUUCAAAUCUAAUAAUCCCAUCCUUAUCGAUGUUAAAAUUUCCUUCUUUUCCUGAUGAGACUUUCUCUUUCAAUUUCUCACAUUCCCUAUCUUUAAAUUGCGCUUCCUUGAUUCUAUCGAAAAGAGUUGAACAAGUCUCUAUUAAAUAUAACUUUUCAUUUGAUUUUUGUGGUAGUUUAACUUCUAACUCCAUCCUUUCCAUAGUUGUUAUUAACUCAUCUUGAGCUUUCAAUGACAUCAAUUUAUCGCGACCUUUUCUACUUAAGGCGCCAGCUACCACAUUUACCUUACCUGGGUGAUAAAGGAUUUCACAAUCAUAAUCCUUAAUCAAUUCCAGCCAUCUUCUUUGUCUCAUGUUUAGCUCUUUCUGUGUGAAAAUAUAUUUUAGACUUUUAUGAUCUGUAUAUAUUUCACAUUUUUCUCCGUACAAAUAGUGCCUCCAAAUUUUUAAAGCAAACACCACAGCUGCCAAUUCUAAAUCAUGAGUAGGAAAUCCUUUCUCAUAAUCCUUUAGCUGCCGUGAUGCAUAUGCAAUAACCUUCCCAUGCUGCAUAAGGACACAUCCUAACCCUUUAUGUGAUGCGUCACUAUAUACCACAAAGUUUCCUGUUUCGUCGGGUAAGGACAACACUGGAGCAUUACUUAAUUUUUUCUUGAGUUCUUGAAAACUUUCUUCACAUUUCUCAUUCCAUACAAAUUUAACUGUCUUCCUUGUCAGGUUAGUUAACGGGGUGGCUAUCUUUGAAAAAUCUUGAAUGAAUCUCCGAUAAUAUCCCGCUAACCCUAAGAAGCUACGCACUUCAGUAGGCGUCCUCGGCUGCUCCCAGUUCAUAACUGCUUCUACCUUCGCUGGAUCCACAGAUAAUCCAUCUUUGUCAAUCACGUGACCCAAAAAUUGAACUCUUUCUAGCCAGAAUUCACAUUUAGUGAAUUUCGCAUAUAACUUUUCUUUUCUUAGUGUUUCCAACACUACUCUCAAAUGGUCAGAAUGAUCGUUCUGUGUCUUGGAAUAGAUCAGAAUAUCAUCUAUGAAUACUACCACAAACUUAUCCAAGUAUGGUUUGAAUAUUCUGUUCAUUAUAUCCAUGAAUGCAGCUGGUGCAUUCGUUAAUCCAAAAGACAUAACCAAAAACUCGUAAUGACCAUAACGAGUUCGGAAUGCUGUCUUUGGAACAUCUUCAUUUCUUACCUUCAACUGAUGAUAUCCAGUUCUCAAAUCUAUCUUCGAAAAAUAUUUCGCCCCUUUCAGUUUAUCAAAAAGAUCAUCGAUUCUGGGCAAAGGAUAUUUAUUCUUGAUCGUCACUUUAUUUAACUCUCUAUAGUCAAUACAAAGUCUCAACGAUCCAUCCUUCUUCUUUACAAACAACACAGGGGCUCCCCAAGGAGACGUACUGGGUCGAAUGUAUUUCUUAUCCAGCAAUUCCUGCAAUUGUAUCAUCAAUUCCUUCAUCUCUACAGGAGCCAUUCUGUACGGUGCUUUUGAAAUCGGUGCCGUACCAGGUGCCAAAUCAAUAACAAAUUAUAUUUCCCUGUCUGGCGGAAGGCCCGAUAACUCGUCAAGGAAAACAUCCACAAACUCAUUUACCACCUUAAUAUCUUCUAUUUUUACUCCUUUUUGCUGAGUAUCUACUAUAUAUGCAAGAUAACCCACACAACCUUUUUGUAACAACUUCUUUGCUUGCAUCAUCGUUAAGCAUCGCGACUGCUUUGGUGAUUUACUGCCGUAAAACACGAUCUUCGAUUGCUUUGCAGGUUUAAAACUCACAGAUUUUCCUUGGCAAUCGAUGGUUGCUCCAUGUUUAAACAACCAAUCCAUUCCCAAAAUAACAUCAAAUUCCCCGAGUUGUAUCGGAAUUAGAUCUACUGUAAGUUCACAUUCUCCUAUCUUAACGCAACAAUACUUAUAGACAUGCUCUACAGGAAUCACUUCCUUAUUAGCCACUUCUAUAACCAUGGGUAUUUCUAAAUUCGAUAAGGGCAUUUCUAUGCGCUUAGCGAAUUCAUGUGAUACAAAAGAACAGGUUGCCCCAGAAUCAAAUAAUACAUAGGCAUUAAUAUUGUUGAUAGGGACAAUACCUGAAACCACAUCCUUAGAUGUUACCGCAUCCUUUGCUGUCAUAUUGAAGGUUCUGGCAGUUGGCUUAUUUGGUGUAGCUGUGCCAAUUGUAAGCGCUCUAGUGCCACUGUUUCCUUUACCACUGCUUCCUCCCUCUACUCCUUUCUUCGAACAAUUUCUGGCAAAGUGAUCCAUCGAUCCACAAACAUAACACCCAGAAUUUUUCUUUGGAUUUGGACAGUUAGGAGAAAUGUGUCCCUCCUGUCCACACUUAUAACAAACCGUCUGUCCUUUUAGACAAAUGCCCAUAUGAUUCUUUCCACACUUCUUGCACGCUUCAAUUUUCUUCUUUUGCUGUCCACCUUGAACACUACUCGUGUUCCCAACAUUAUUCCAUUUCCUUUUCUUAUUCCACUUACUAGUACCUUCUGAUUUAACCAAUCCUUCAGACUGUCCUUUAUUCUUCUUAUCUUUAUUAUAUCUACCUCCUGUUUCACUACCACUUUCUGCUAUAAUUGCUUUCUCAAGGAGAACGGCAUAAGUUCCAAUCUGCAAUACUGACAGCUUAUUGUAGAUCCAAGGCUUCAAGCCCAACUCAAACCGUCUCGCUUUUCGUUCUUCUGUGUUCACUUGAUGUGGAGCGAAUCGUGCCAACUCAUUGAACUUGGCAGCAUACUCAGAUACAGUCAUAUCACCUUGUUUAAGAUCAAGGAAUCGGACUUCCAUCCUACUUUGCAUUCCAGGAGGGAAGUAAUUUUCAAAGAAAAGUUUCUUAAAUUUGGACCACCUUAUUACACCUGCACCGGCUCUGGUUUUAUUUGCUUCCCACCAAAAAUUUGCUUCCCCUUUCAGCAUAUAGGCAGCAAAUGAAGUUUUCUGCUCUUUACUUACCCUAGUUAUCUCAAAGGCUUUCUCCAUUUCUUGAAUCCAUGACUGAGCCUCAAUUGGUUCGGUAGUCCCUCUAAACUCAGGAGGUCCUACACUUUUAAAAUCUUUGAAGCUAGCCCUGUGAAUAGCUGGUGGUGGUGGUGGAACAUUCGCGUCAGGUGGUGGAGCAUUCCUGUUCUGAAAAGCUUCCAUCAUAAAACGUGCAAAUUGCUGUAUAGGAUUCUCUUGGGCUUCAUUCCUAUUUUCAUUUUCAUUAUGAACCUCUUCAUUUCUAUUCUCAGUGUUAGGUUCCACAUUAGCAUUUCUUCGUACCCUAGGUACUCUUCCUCCUCUAAUUCUGGGUGGCAUUUUAUAUCUGUUUAAUAACAUUCAUAUAAUUAAACCAUUUAUUACAAGAACAUUCAUACAAAAUGUUAAAACAAUAACAUUCAUAACAAACAUAUUUAAUGUUAUUAUAAAUUAAACAUGCUCUUACAUGUGCCUUGAUCAUUUCUAUCUUUGUAAACUCUUCUGGCUAUUACAUAUUCACAAUUACUAUUUACAUAAUUACGUGUACUAUUUUCAUAACAUUGCUAGCAAAAGAUUUACAUAGACUAAUCCUUAACCACUAUCAGGUUAGGAUUUCCAAAAGAUAUCCCCAAAGAACUACCAAAAGUGGGGUACAUUUACAUCCUACACCUACUAGCACAUUUACCAUAUUUACAUACACAUGCCAUAUCCAUCUCCAAACUGACACUCAAAUAUCCCUAUCCCGCACUGGAGUGAUGGAACGCACGCGCUCCUCUUCAGUAAUAGCCAUAACCCUGGCUCGCGAAAUAGAAUAUCUAGUCUGUCCUAGCUCCUGGGGGUGAUUCCAGACAGCGGUCUGGACCCUUUCCAUGGAAUGAAUAUAUACAAAAUUCAUCAUCUCCUUUUGUCUUUUGCACUCAUCCAACCGACCCUCUAAAUGGUGAAUAUAAUCAUUAGAGGUUGUUAAAAUAUUCUCCAUUCCAUGUCGUUCUUCAUGCAAUCCCUGGAUCUGUACUUCCAUAUUCUGGACUUUGUCUUCAGAUACCUGAAGUCUAGCUAGCAAUUCAUUGUUCUGAUCCAUCAUAUAAUGGAUCAUUGCCCCUAACUGUAUCAUUGCUUCUUCCAUUUCGUUCUGUUGAGGCCCAUCAUCUGGUACCUCAUGCAUCUCCUCCCCUGGAUCCUCCUCUUCUUCUAUAGGUUCUGGAUCUAAAUCUAUCACUUGCACUGGGGCUACUGGUGGUGGAGCGAUCUGCUCCUCAAUAAAAACUAACUCCUCCUGAAUCUCUGCCAUCCUACACAAAAACAAAUAACUUGAUUAAUACAUAAUACAAGUUAUAUAACAAAUAACAAAUAACAGUUAUUUUUAAAUUAUUUUAUAUUUACAUUUUAAAAUGAACUUCCACAGUUCACCUUCUUGCAACUCUAUAUGAGUUAUUUAUUUCAUGUCUGUCGCUCUAACUUAAAGUUAUAACCCCAGGUUCCCAUCCUAAGGCUUCUAACUUAAAGCUUUGAUACCAAUCUGUGACGCCCCCAAAUUCGGGUACUUGAAACCCUUAUUCAGUGCUCACGAUAUAAAACUUCCAGAAUAUAAUAAACAUAAACUUAAUAAAGUUAUUACAUCAAAGUUCUUCUAAUCCCAGGUACGCAAACCUUUAAGCGUUUAUUACAUGAUAGUUUAAUAUUUACAAACAUGAAAACUAUCUAUUACAACACUCUUCAGCUAUUCUCCUAUUUUUCCUUUUCCCUUGUCUUUUCCAGACCCUUCUGCCCGAGUCUGCUCAGCUGAAAACAUUUAAUAAAACAAGUAUGAGCAUUUAAUUGCUCAGCAAGUAAUAGCAUUCUUUAAAGCUUAACAAGAAAUAAAUGUUUUCUUUGAAGCAUGCUUUGACAGUGAAUCAAAACUGUAAAGCAAUAAAUCUUGAAUCAUUCACAUUUUUGAAAUAUCAUAACAACAUUGAAUAACUGAGAGGUUUUAAGACCAUGAACAUAUUUUUCUUUUCUUGAAAAGGUUCAAUCAGAAAUAUUAUCAGAUGAACCGUCUUAACUUACGAGCACGUAGGGUGAUCAGCCCUUUAUGCCCUGUAUUGAUCAAUACUAUCUUUUCCAGAACAAUUUUCAUGUUCUACAUCACCACUCCCAGAGUGCAAUAAAAAUAUCCCAUUUAAGGGUAUGUUCAUUCUCAGUUUUAGAUUCCAACUACAACAAUAUAGUUGGACAGCUUAAAUCAUAGCACAAUAAUAUUUCAAGAUAUAAUAUAAAGAAAUUGAAAUAUUUUACAUCUAUGUCUGGCCAGAAGAAAUGGCUCAGACUUCUCUGCAAUUUACUCAUGUAUAUUGAAUAUCAUUUGAUACACAUGAUAAUUCAUUACCCAAUCUUUUGAAGCUGAUUGGAAUAAAAAGAUUAUUCAAUCUUAUAAUAUUCAUAAAUAAGGAAAGACAGUUCAAAAAUUAAGGAACCUGUCAACAUAUGAAUAAUCUCCGAAUACUUGCUCAAUAAAGAGUAAGAUUUAGAUACUUGCCUUGUUCGUAGACUAUUGAUAAAAUUCAGCUUAACUUGAUCUCACAAAGCCUACACAAUUAUAUUUGCAUGUACAAGUAUAUUAGCCAAACAUACAAGUCAUAUAGUUUGUAUUUUCACAUAUCACAUAAUCACAUUGAUUAUAUUUUUAGUUUAUAUUUUAUAUUUGAAAUAUUUUUAUACAUUUUUCAAAUAUCUCAUCCAUGUUCUUAAAACAAUCAUUUCUUUCUAUUAUAGAGUCUGACAUAAUCUUUUGCUCAAGAUUUUUCUAGAAUCUUAGUUCAAAUAUCUUUUCUAAGUUAUGACAAGUUAGUUUCGUCGCAGAGUUUAGCAAUUCUUUACGACACUACUAGCCUAAACUUGGCUUAGCAACCUUAAAAGUCUCAUCAUAACAACCAUUGUUUUAUAAUAAAUUACGUGUCUUAGAUGUGACUAAAACUUGUUUGGACAAUUUAUAGUUCUAUUCGUUUGUAGUUUCAAUUUUUCUUUUUAACUAAGAUGCUAAACAUUCUUGUUUACUUUAAAAAUGUCAAAACCGCCCCUUCGUGUGGUAAUCAAACUAUGUCUAGCCCUGUGAGGCUUGGCUAGGCCUUGCAGCCCCUAGCCGAGCUUAGCAACCCUUAACCCGAGCAACACUUUCCAAUUUGCUUAACCUUAUCUUAUAAUAUGUUAGCCCAUUAGUAUUUUAAAAAAUUGCAUUACUGCUAACUGCUGCUGCUAAUGCUGCUGUCAAAGACAGCAGCUUUGCUCCUCUGAUUAGCCCUCUGUUUUAUAACUUUAUAACUUAUGCUGUGUACAAUUAUGUAAACCCAAGUUUUAACAUAAAUGUUUUAUAUAUUGGCAGUCUAUUAAUUAUGCUUUCCAAGCUAUUUAAACUACUAGCAAGUGCUCCUUUCUACCACUGCUGUCCGUGAGCAGCAGUAGUCUCCCCUUCCCUGCCUAUUGAUUCAGCCAUCAACUCAACCAUUAUCAAUAUAAAUAUAGGGAUGUACAGUUAUUAAUAUCUAGACACAACAGUUGAGGAGAAUUUUAUAAUCUAACUAUAUUCAACACAAAUUCAUCAAAGAAAGCAUUAUCAUUUGUGCAACCAUGCGCACUGCUGCUGUCACAAAAUAGGCAACAAAUCUGCAUUUGCUUUGAAAAACAAAAUUAAUUAAUAUGCUACUUGUGACACACCUCUUGAUAUAAAAAAAUGCUAGUGACUUAAAGCUAUUACUCUAGCUGCUGCAACACACUUGUUGUCACCCAAGUACAGAAGCUGCAUUCCUCCUCUCAAGCCAUAAAAUAACUCCUUUUAAGCAAAUCAAAGAUGAUGCAUUUAUUUGAUAAAGUACCAACAAUCAGGUAAUAUUCAGCUACUUAAACACAAUGAUUAUUAGCCCAAAAAAAAAAACUCCGGCCAUGGCCCAAAAGGUUUACUGCUGUUGACACGCUGCUGCCACUGGGCAACAGCUACUCCCUUUAUUCUUGACCCUAUUGUGCCAAGUGUUGAGCAUUACAUGAAUCAUAUGUAUUUGUAUUGCAGAGAAGUGCUACACAAACACGUUUAGUAGUUUAAUGUNNNNNNNNNNNNNNNNNNNNNNNNNNNNNNNNNNNNNNNNNNNNNNNNNNNNNNNNNNNNNNNNNNNNNNNNNNNNNNNNNNNNNNNNNNNNNNNNNNNNUUUUUUUUUUUAACAGAAAAUAUAAGAGAAAGAACCGAAAAUACAGCUAAUAAAUUCAUACCUUCUAUUUGACGUGUUCCCGCUCACCCCACAGCUUCGAGCUACCGAAGUUCCUCCUCCUUAACAACUCGAAACUUGGGUAUUUUCCCAGUUCGUAGAAAUUAUAAAGUUUCACUAUUUUUGUUUUUAUAACACUUUCUGUGCGGGUUUAAGAAAUAAACGGCUUGUUACAACCUGAAGCUCUGUUUUAUAAGAACUCUGGCUAUGUAAAACACGUUAUAGGCAAACUGAGUUGUAAAGCUAAGUUAUUGUAUAAUCGCCAGCACCUGCUAAGCUAAUAGAUUAUCUCCUGUUUUAACAGUCACGUAUACGAUAAUAAGCUGAGUUUCAUUUACUAUUAACGUUAAUUCAUAAGGCUAUGUUUGGCGAGAAAAAUAACAUUUACUUCUCUUUUUGCAGUUAGUGCAUGCUUUAAAUAUACCAAAAUACAUUUCAAUUUUUUUUUUUAAUAGAAUAUCCAUACAUCAUUUCCAUCAAAAUAGAGGGUAUUUAUUAAAUAUAAUAACUAUUAAAUAUUAUACAUGACAAAACAUCUCAUCACAAAAUACACUGCACAUGAUAAUAUAAUAACACAUACAGAAGAAUUUUUUUUUUUUACUACAGAUUACUACAGAAAAAUCUUAUUUUAUUUACUCAGAAAAUGCGAUUCGCUACAACUUGUGUCUCUACUCUAACCAUUUUAUUAUGUUUUGACUUUUUAGCAGAACUUUUGAAAAAUGAAAUUGUGAUCGUCACAAUUAAAUUAAUUAAGUAAUAAUAUGGUUAAAAAAAUAUUAAUAUAAAUGAUAAAAUGCUAAAAAAUUAUACUAAAUUUUUUUUAAAUUGAAUUUAUUAAUACCCUUCCAUAUUUAAAUAAUUUCACUCCAUCUUAAUUUUUCAAUUGAAAGUGAGAAUUAACCGUUUCAGCAUAUAUAAAUACUAAAAAAAUUAUAAUACUAUCACUCAAAUAAAUAAAUAUAUCAAGAUCUGGUUUGGGUAGUUAUUAAAAUAAAUAAAAAACUCUCUGCCAAGACUCUGCCUAGGCCCCGCUGAGGCACUAGGGGGGCCUAGCGCCUAGGCGGGGAGCCAAGGGGGGCCUAGCGCCUAGGUGGGGAUUUUUAGAACACUGACCUAGACAGACCCAUUAGGAACCCAUGAAGUCUGCAACCCAUAAAUAGCUUAGACAAUCAGCACAACAUCACAUCCAAUACUAUAAGAUGCCAUGAAACCAGCCACAAGCACUCCCAAUGUUUCAGCAGACACAAACAAACUCAUCAGACAAUGACAAACUGCAGCCAGACGGCAGCAAAAGCAGGCAACAUACACCCUCAAAACAUCAUUUCAGCAUAUCAUAUCAGCACACCAGACACCUAUAAAAUCCAGCCUCAUUACAGCAUUUCAACAGCCUCAUUACAGCACCAGAAACAGCUCAACCCAGCACAGACUAACAGCAGACAUAAACUUUAGUCCUUUACUAUAGAAACCGUUAUUUUGUAACUAGAAUACUAGAACAGCAACGUAAGUGCAUAAAUGACCAAAUUCUCCCAUAAAUACUUCACUAGACAUAAUUUUUAUCCCACCAUAAAAUUCCUUUUAACCCAAUGCAAAUAAUAAAGAAAGUAGGCCUAAAAAGCACCUACAUCGCAGAGCACGAAGCCAAAAAAGUGGAAUAAAAAAGGGUCUUUUUCAUGCCUAAUGCACAUGUACAGAACUAAAACUCAAAAAAAACAUUUCAGUAAGCCAACGACCAACCCUUCUUAAGAAAGUCAUUUAUUCGUCUAGUCUUCCAUUAACAUUUGUUUCAGAGCAUUACACAUUUAUGUAUUAAAAAAUUAAAAAAAUGAAAAACUAAAAUUUAACAGACUGUCAGAUACAGAACAACAGUAGUGUAUGUGUGUAUGUGACAAAUCAACAGUAACCAAUAAUAAAUACCGAAAGGAACUAACAAAUUUACAUAAAAGAGACAAAAAUAACAAGAUCAAAUAUAGUAUACAUGUUUAAAUAAUAUAAUUGCUCACCCAAAUUGUGUAACGUUCUUAAUCCACCCUACUUUCCAUGGUAUCAAGUCCAACAACUAUAAGCUUGAUGUCAACGAUUAAUUCUUCAUCUUCCUCUUCUUCUUUAUCAUGUCCAGUGGCUAUAUUUUAAAAAAUCAAAAUCAACAAAUAAAGAAAGUCAAAAUAACAAAAUUUUAACAUUUAACUUAAUCAAGUUUUAAGAUUUACCAUCUGAGCCAUACAACCAAUUCCGAGUACAUAAUAAAGCUUUCGCAUUCUCAGGGGUGAUUAAGCUAUGAUACUUGGUUAUAAUAUGUCCUCUAAUGCUAAAAGAUGACUCUGAAGCAACAUUAGUAAUCGGAAUACUCAGAAUGCCUCGUGUCAUAAUUGAUAGCACUGAGUAUCUAGUUCUAUUUGCUUUCCAAUAAUUAAGAACAUUCAGAUGCAUCUUUCGGUUAAGACUACUCUCUUCCAAAUAAGAUUCCAAUUGCGACUUACCUCGAUCAAAACCAUAUUUUUUACUUAGAAAAGAGUCAAACUCCUACAUAAUUUUCACAAUCAGUAAAAAUAAACAAAUAAGCGUAGAUAUGUAGAUAUAUAAACACAUAUCAUCUUCAUAAGAAAAUAAACAAUACUUACACCCAUAUCAUCAAUAUCAUCUUCAUUAUCUCCAUAAAAAGUUGGAUGAGAUGAACCGGAUGUAGAAAAAUAAAUUGAAAAACGACAAUAAUCCUUAUAAAGGUCACUCAACUUAUCACGAACCGAUUUCACUCUUUCAUUGUAUGUCCCUGGAUAUAGUUUCUUAAAAACAAAUUCCACAAACUCCAACUUGAAACAAGGAUCCAAGAUGACGACAAAUGACAACACUAAUUAAACUACACUCCAAUAUUUUUCAAACUUCGCAUUCAUUUCAAUUGGCAUAUAAUAUAAAAUGCUAUUUGGAUCAUCCAUCUCCCUAUAAAUAAGGGAUCGUAUCUUCCAUACCCUAUGAAAAUAAAUAUUAGUUGUAGGGUAUUGAGUUCCUGAGAAAAGAGUAGUGAUAUCAUGGAAUGGUUUUAAAAAUUUAGCUAUCUUUUCAACCGUUUUCAAUUCUUCCUCCGUUGCACAAUCCUUGAAAUUUGAGUCCACUAACUAUAAUUAAUAAAAUGCAAGUUUGUAUGUCAAAGUACUAUCAAGCAUUAAGUAAGUUGAAUUCCAUCUUGUUGGAACAUCUUGCUGAAGUUUCUUAUUACACUUCAAUGAGAGUUGAGCAACACAUUCAACAAAUUUUAUCAAUAUUCCUUUUGUCCCUUUCACAUAUUUCACAUUUUCUCUAAUUUUGUUAACACAUUUUCAAUCACCUUAAGACCACUUUGAACAAUUAAAUUCAAAAUAUGUGCACCACAAUGCACAUGAAAAAAUUCCCCUUGGUAGAGUAAUGUACCGGUCAAAUUCAAACGACUCUUUACAACAUCUACCAAGCCAUUAUUUGUCGAUGCAUUAUCUAGAGUAAUGGUGAACACUUUCUUCUCAAUCCCCACUUUCUUAACAAACCAAUUACCUUCUCUGCUAAUAAAGGUCCACUAUGUGGAGGAGCCAAAAACUUUAAAUUUAAAAUUCUUGCUUGCAGUAUCCAAUUCUCAUCCACAUAAUGCAUUAAAAGACAAAUACUCAUCCAAAGUAAUAGAAGACCAUAAGUCAGAUGUUAAACAUAUCCUACCAGAAACAGAUUCUAGAGCAUACUUAAGACUAUAUCAAAAUCCAAAGCCACAACCUGUUUUCACACACAAAUAAGACCCAAACUCAUUACAAACUACCAACAAGUGAUUAUGCUUAUCAGGAUAUCAUUAAAGCUAACAGAAUAUUUAUACAGACUCCCAACAGAGCAUAACAUCUACAUAUUUGCAGAUUGCUAGUAUUACUAACACAACUAACAGAACCAAAGUGGUAGAACUUGUUGAAGACUUUUUAGCAGAAGUUGCUGUUCGAAAUGGGUUUGAUAAAAUAUAUAUUUAUAUGUUCAAAUCCAUUAAGAAUUGAAUGAGAAAAUUGAAGGGCCGGGUCGGGUUCAGGUCGGGUUCGGGUCGGGUCUUGAUAUAUAUUUGUUUUAGAACAAAAUUUAUUAUCAAUACUAACGGUUUGUGCACCAGCCAACGGUAAUAAACCGUGUAAUUAUUCUAUAAAUUAACGAAUAUGGGCACGCAUUAAAGACACAGACCUGUUUUUCCUUCCUGUUCCUGUUCUUAUUUUUUCUCGUUCUAUACACUGUUUUUCUGCCAAAUUUUGACAGACAAAAAACAACAUAGUGCAGUGUGUACUUUUGACAGACCACAUAGGCAUACUUUUGACAGACAACAUAGUGCUUCUAAUUUACUUUUUGACAGACAAACAAAAGUAAGAUUUUUCUUCCUUUUCAGUUUAUUUUUUGCAUGCGUCAUCAUUAUUAUUAUUAUUCAUGUUCAUGUAAGUUUAGUACAUAACAUAUAAUUUGGUUUAAAGUGUUCUUAAUUUUGAAGUGCUUCUAAUUAAGAACUGGAAAUCCGUUUUAUCUUGGGAAGCAAUUAUUUAAUUAAUCCUUAGCACUUGUGAGGGAAUAAAUUUGCUUUAAGGAGACUUUGUGAAUUCAAAGGACUCGGAUUUAUUUAUUAAUAUUUUUUGUGUUAUAUACAUAUAAAAUUCUGUUAUGUUUUAUUAUAUUUAAAUAUAUUAAAUAAUACUAUAUAUUACAGAUAACAAUUGCUAGUGACAAAGAUCUUAAAUAGAGCACAUUUAUAUCGCUUGCAGAUAUGGUUGUGGCAGCAUCACUAGAAACACAAAGAAGCUUUGAUGGUAUUUAAGGCCUACUCGGGAAUGACUUAUUUUAAAUGACUUAAAAUAUAAGUUGACUUAAAAGUUUUUUAAGUUGUGACUUAUAAGUAAAAGUGUUCCGUAUCAAUUUGACUUAUAUAUCAGAAAUUAAGUUAAAAUAAGUUAUGAAUAUGUUCGGCUCAUAAUUUAUAAGUUAAAAUCAAAUGGAAGACUACUAAAAAGGAAAUUAACAAAAAGAUGGGCAAAAUAGAUAUUACAUUUGGUCAAACUAACUUAUUUUAAACUAACUCAUUCUCGAAUAGGCUCUUACAGGGCAAUAAGUAUGUAUUUAGACAAGCACACAUUUAACAUAAUCCGAAAAGAAGAGGUAUGCAAGGUUUUUGACUUGAACAAGAUGUCCCCAUAAGGUAUUAGGUUACAAAUAAAAGUCCACAAACCCAAAAGCACUAAUCUACGGAUAUUAAGUUAAAAGCACAUAACUGUUCGUAACUUUAAGAAGAGAUUAGAGAAACCCAAAAGUAAGUGAAAGAAUUUGGGGAUAAAGCUUAAUAAAAGACGAACUACAAAAGGACAAUAAAAACUGAAAUGAAAAGGGCAAAAUACACGAGAGAAUAGAGCUUCGAACUUGUCGUAAAACCAACACUAAAUCAACGUUGAUUUGGGCGCCAAGAGUGAGAUUAAUUAACAGUCAUACUCCAUUGAAGAGUCACGAAAGGAAAAUUGAAGAUCAGAAGAAUAAUCUUAUCGACUGAAGAUUCACGAAGGAAGAUCAAUGCGCGAGUUCAAACCAAGCAUUGGCUAGGUCUUCUCCCCUCCACAAAAGUGGAAUGCCCCUUAAGACCCAAAGCCAAGAUAAACUUCAUUGUAUAUAAACUCAUUCAAACUUUAGUUCUUAACCGAUGUGGGAUUUAGCUUCCCACGAGUAUUUAUUAUCAUUUUAAAGGGUGAUCUUUGGGAGUUAAUUUCUCAUUCAUUAUCCCAUAAAUUUGCGCUUUCAAAUACUUAAUUUUAAUCUAAUAAUGGAGUAGAACUCAUUGAUAUGUGGAUUUAUUUCAAAUGAUUAAUGAAACCCACUACAAAUUUGGCUCAAAUUCUAACAAUUUUAAAUUUUAAAAUUGAUACUAGUCCAUCUAACUUUAGCACUACAAUUAUAAAUAUUAUAAAUUAUUUAAAAUGUAUUAUUAAUUACAAGAUUUAAUAUUUUCAAAAACAAAAGUGAUUCAUGUCAAAAAAUUGAAUUUUUGAAUUUUUUUGAAAGUCAUUAUUAAUCUUAUAUUGUCAAACAAACGGAGGAAGUAUUACAUUAAUCUUAAUUUAAGAUUUCAUAAAUUAAAUUAUGUUGUGAAAUGAGAAUAUAUAUAUAUAUAUAUAUAUAUAUAUAUAUAUAUAUAUAUAUAUAUACACACGAUCAGGAUCAAGAGCAUUCUCCUUAAAUAGCAUUUCUCCUUAAAUAGCAUUCUUUUAUUAAAACUAGGUAUGAAACAAAAGUUAAAAAGUUUAGUGGAAGCAAUGUAUCAAACACCUUGUGUGAAACACUUACAACACUAAUUUUCUAAUGAAUAAAUUGAAAACAAGAAGAUGACACAUGCAGAGCAUUUACUUACCUUUUUCCAAUCGAGCAGCUGGAACAAAUUUGGGAAUCCAAAUCUUAAUAUUUUCUUUGAUCUUAGCGAGAGAUGUUAGGAAAUGAUAGGAUAGAUUGAAGAAAUGUAAAGAAAUUUGAUUUCUAUAACAAAACACAACAAUAGGGGCAUUUUUGGACUUCUCAAAUGUCAUGAAUCGGAUUUCACCUCCGUCACAGACAUUGAAAGAGUACAAGUUUGAUUUUAAUAAAUUUGAAAAUAGAACCUUUUGCAAUGCCUACCUUAAUUAAUCACUUGUAGGGGUGUAAAUAAAUUGAAUCUCAACAAAGAACUUAAUACUCAGAUUUGGUUCGAUUUAAAAAAAUUGAGCUCGGAUUCGAUAAGGAAUUUCUAAUUUUGCGCUAUAUUCGACUCGGAUCAUUACUCGGACUUACUCAGCUCGUAAGUACUCAACUCGUUUACAAAACGAGUUACUCGUGAGCAUUCAAAUCGAGUUUCGAAUAUGAAUCAUUUCACUUAAUACUGAACCACUACAUACUAAAUUGAUUAUUGAAUUAAUAUUUAUAUAUAAAAGUUUUUUACUUUUAUUUAUGUAAAGAAAUUACAAAUAAUGUAAUACAAAUUGACAAUCAAUUCAUUGAUUUAUUUAAGUAUAAGUUUACACAAUUUAAUAAUACACUUUAUAAACCAUAAAGAUUGAUACAAAUAUCACAUAUUUAACUUGUUAGUAUGGAUUAGACCAAUAUUUGAAUAUGUUCCAUCGGUCAUGUAUCGAGGAUGGUUCGAGAAAAAAUGAAAUACUCGAACCCUAAUCUGAGCGUACACUGGUAUACUCAAAUUCGAUCCGUGUAUCAUUAAACAGAAAACGAGUAUGGAUCAGAUUCGACUCGAAUCAACUUCGAAUUCGAGUUUUGGAUCAUAUUUUCGAACCGAUCUCGAGUAGAGUACCGAGGUACUUGGCUCAACUUGACUUACACCCCUAAUCACUUGACUAACCACUAAAAUAAAUUCAUAGUUUAAGGGCAGGGAGAGCCGCACUCGCAUCUCUAUUAGUCUUCGAUCACUAAUUAAAAAGCUUUAAUACAUUAAACGAGGCCUCAAAGCAGAUAGCCUACAAGAGACAAAGGUUGUAAAAAUGGUGAUAUUGUUCCUCCAUUGAUCAAGAAUUUCGAUUGACUCUCUUUCCAUUCUUAUCUUCGAUUAGUAGACGAUUGUCGUAACGAUUUUAUUUCGACUUUUAAAAUUUGAGCGAAGAUGUGAGAAACUUAUAAAUCUCAUCUUUAUUUUUAGGGAAUUGAUAUUUACACAAAUAAAAAUGAUGAUUUUACAAGUUCUCUCACAUAAAUAGUUAAUGGGUCCCACACUUGUGCAUAUGAGGGAAAUUUUGUGAAAAUAUCAAUUUUUACUAGUAAAAAUAACAAUUUCCUAUUUUUAUUUUUUGUUAGUGUACUUGUGUGGAACGAUUACAAUUACCUGACAAUCAUAUUGAGACGAUGGAGAUUCGUAUUAAGAAAUUGAUCGAGGUACAUACCUAAGGGUUAGGGUUAAAUAUUUUUUUAGUCACUGUACUAUAUGUUAACUUACAGAUAGAUAACUGAAUUUUUUUUCUUUACAGUCAACUCACUGAACUCGACUUUUCUAGCACAAAAUUAAAAAAACCGUUAAAAACUUUGACUUUAAUGGAAAAUGACAACUAAGCAGCUGAGUUGUCCGUUAAAAAGUUGAUGUGGUGUCCUUGUGUGACGUGACAGUGAUUAUGUGGAUUUGGAGGAAAUUUUUUAUGAAGAAAAUGAAAAAAUAUUUUAAAAUAUAAUAUAAAUUUAAAAUUUAAAGUGUGCCAAAAAAAUAAGAAAAUAAAUAAAAAAUAUAUAUUUAAUUAUUUUUGUAAUUAAUAUCAAAUAAAAUUUUAUUUAUAAUUAAGCCAUUUAUAAAAUAUAAAAUCCAAAAAUAUGCUAAUUAAAAUUAAGGGGAAUGUGAAAUAUAUUUAGGGGGAAAUGAAAGAAAAUUAUAAUAAAAUCAGAAAAUUUAGCAAAAAAUACAUGGUAGUAAUUAAAAAAUAAAAUGAGUUAUUUACUUAUUUUUGUAAUUAAAAGAAAAUGUUUUUUAUAUAAUUAAUAAUAAAUAUAAUUAAGGAAAUUAUAAAAUUAAAAAUAUUUUAAAAUUAAAAAUCUUUUCAAAUUCGGACAUUAAAAUUAUAAUUGAGUCAAUUUGGUGAUAGUUUUUCUUUUCUUUUCUAACUAGAAUAAAUAAAUUUAUACUUUUACAUGCAAAUAAUUUUUAUAUAUUUCUAACUAAUAAUUUGAUGGACCGACCAGUUACCACAUUAAUGACUGCUUGAGUGUAAUAUCAAAUUUUUAUAAGAUUACCACGUUAUAAGAUUUUUAAUUUUAAAAUAAUUUUAAUUUCGAUUCCAACUAGAUGGACCGACCAGUUACCACGUUAAUGACUGCUUGAAUGGAACAAUUACAAUUACCUGACAAUCAUAUUGAGACGACGGAGAUUCGUAUUAAGAAAUUGAUCGAGGUACAUAACUAGGGGUUAUAAUAAUAGGUUUACCAAGUACCGCUCGGCCGGCAGCUUGGCCUUGGUCUAGUUUCAUUGGUUUCGACUAUGUAUUCUUAGGUUUGUGGAUAUAUAGAUGGCGAUUUAUUUGGAAGUAAUUCUACUGAACCACUGUUAUAUUUUCCUUAUGAUGCCAAGAAUAAAGUGAUGACACUACCUUUUGGCACAAAGAAUGGAAACUGUUACUACUAUUAUUAUAUACUCCUCUUCUUUUAUUUGAUCAUAUAUUCUAAAGGCUCCACUGAUAGAGGGAAGUGGAUUCAUAAGUAAAAUUUGUCCUCUUACAUUAAUUGCAUGGUAUGCAACUAUCAUGUUAAACCCAUUAGUAAUUGCACGAGCUUAUUUCUAUUGAUCAGCUAUUUAAGGUGAAAAAUUCUAUGACCAUGCACAGCAAAUGACAUUGAAUUGUUAGAAAGAUAUUCUUGAACAACACAACAAUUGACAUUGAAUUGUUGUUUUUCAACACUUUUAUCUUAUAAUACAAUGUUGAAUGAAACAAUCUAAACUGCUAGAAGGAAAAUUCAUUAUCACACUCCCCUCCCUCCAGGUUAUAUAUGCAUGGCAUGUAAUCACAAAUCAGAAUUCAUUUCUGUACCAAUAUACGCCUCUGCUCUCACCUUCAUCUUUCUCCACAUAAACGCAUUCCUUCACUUCUCUGUACAUGGCCUUCAGAAUUGGAGUUCCAUCAUACUGAUAAUAAUCACCCAGUAUCGGUUUCAUUGCCUCUGUCGCCUCGAGUCCAUGAUAAUGCGGGAUCAUAGAGAAUAUAUGGUGACAAACAUGAGCAUUACACACGUUAUGGAACACCUUGUUCAAAAUUCCGUAAUCUCUAUCAACGGUGCAUAGAGCUCCUCUCAACCAAUCCCACUCCGUAGAAUCAUAGUAAGGCAAAGAAGGAUGAGUGUGAUUAAGUAUGGUAAUCAACACGAACCAUCCGUUAACAACAAGCAAAGGACCUCCAUACACACAGAAAACCCAAGCAAAUCCUUUGAGUAACACGAGCCGAUAUAGACCAUAUAUGACGGCAAGAAUAGCAAUAUCAGAAAUAACAAUUUCCUUGCGCUCACGGUCAGAGUAAAGCGGACUAUGAGGAUCAUAAUGGGAAGUCCACCUUCCGUACUUGUGUCCAGAUACAUUGAACAUCAAGUAUAAAGGAAAACCAAUAAUAAGGGUGGUGAGCCACACGAGCACGCGGCCCGGAGGAUUGUUGAGCAUUUUGUAGUAGUUUCGGAUAUUGGACUUGAAUCUCGGGACAUAGACCUCGUCAUUGUCAAGAGAUUGAGUAUUGGCGUGGUGACGACGGUGGCUAAUUUUCCAAGAGAAAUAAGGGACCAAUAGGGAGGAAUGGACUAUUAGGCCCACGAGGUCGUCGACCCAUUGGUAGUCACUAAAGGCGUGGUGGUCGCAUUCGUGGCCUAUGACCCAAGCUCCGGUUAGUACACAACCUUGGACGGCAAUGUAAGCGGCCCAGCCUAAGUAGUUGAGGGGAUGGGGAAGGUAUUGGUCGAUGUAAUUGGUGGCAAUGUAAUAGAGGGAGUAGGCCAUGAGGAGAUCUUGAAUGAGGUAGCGGAAUGAGGUGACGAGGGAUUUUUGGAAGCAAUGGGCCGGAAUGGCUUUUUUAAGAUCUCCAAUGGUGAAGGGAGGUUUGUCGUGAGGGGCUCGGCGAAGGGCUUCGGCUUGUGUCUUCUUGUUGGCAUUAGGGGGAGCUGACAUACGCCCACCUGCACCCAUUUUCUUGGGUUU
rnacentral:lncRNA from 1 species